AGGUUCCAUAUAACAUCUGAAUGCUCACUUUCUGUCUUAAGUAGUAUGUCCUUGUUUCUCUGAAUUUCUUGCAGCGGUUUUGCUUAGGGCUAGGAGUCUGGAUUUGGACCAGCUGCUCCAGCCUGGGACACCUUUCCUGGGUCAGCUUUUGGAAGAGAUCUGACAGAGAAGUACACAUAAUUCCAUGUAUUCCUAAUGUCUAAAGAGCUGGAAUAAUUUCUACAGCUGGGGUGUUCCAAGAAGAGUUCAUGAGGCACUCAGCUGAGGAAAAAAUCUCUGAAUCAUCAUAGAAAUACUGGAGGUGAGUGAGUUAUUGGCCACACCUGCACGAUAGCCUUGAAAAGGUGCUGCAAACCCAAGCCUGAACGGUUGGGAAUCUCAAGUAGUAAGAGGAGCAGCAACAGCAGUAACCACCACUGCCUAGAAGUAACUAGAAAUGUUGUGCAAGAGAGAUCAGAAGCUCAAGUCACAGAUAAUCAAGCUGAGCCCGUGGAACCGCAAGGCCACAAGAUGCUGUGCAGAGAAGACUU